rnacentral:rRNA from 1 species
CGGCGUCGAGCGGCGGACGGGUGAGUAAUGCCUAGGAAAUUGCCCUGAUGUGGGGGAUAACCAUUGGAAACGAUGGCUAAUACCGCAUAAUACCUACGGGUCAAAGAGGGGGACCUUCGGGCCUCUCGCGUCAGGAUAUGCCUAGGUGGGAUUAGCUAGUUGGUGAGGUAAUGGCUCACCAAGGCGACGAUCCCUAGCUGGUCUGAGAGGAUGAUCAGCCACACUGGAACUGAGACACGGUCCAGACUCCUACGGGAGGCAGCAGUGGGGAAUAUUGCACAAUGGGCGCAAGCCUGAUGCAGCCAUGCCGCGUGUGUGAAGAAGGCCUUCGGGUUGUAAAGCACUUUCAGUCGUGAGGAAGGUAGUGUAGUUAAUAGCUGCAUUAUUUGACGUUAGCGACAGAAGAAGCACCGGCUAACUCCGUGCCAGCAGCCGCGGUAAUACGGAGGGUGCGAGCGUUAAUCGGAAUUACUGGGCGUAAAGCGCAUGCAGGUGGUUUGUUAAGUCAGAUGUGAAAGCCCGGGGCUCAACCUCGGAAUAGCAUUUGAAACUGGCAGACUAGAGUACUGUAGAGGGGGGUAGAAUUUCAGGUGUAGCGGUGAAAUGCGUAGAGAUCUGAAGGAAUACCGGUGGCGAAGGCGGCCCCCUGGACAGAUACUGACACUCAGAUGCGAAAGCGUGGGGAGCAAACAGGAUUAGAUACCCUGGUAGUCCACGCCGUAAACGAUGUCUACUUGGAGGUUGUGGCCUUGAGCCGUGGCUUUCGGAGCUAACGCGUUAAGUAGACCGCCUGGGGGAGUACGGUCGCAAGAUUAAAACUCAAAUGAAUUGACGGGGGCCCGCACAAGCGGUGGAGCAUGUGGUUUAAUUCGAUGCAACGCGAAGAACCUUACCUACUCUUGACAUCCAGAGAACUUUCCAGAGAUGGAUUGGUGCCUUCGGGAACUCUGAGACAGGUGCUGCAUGGCUGUCGUCACCUCCUGUUGUGAAAGGUUGGGUUAAGUCCC